UUUAAUGGUAAUUGUUCGCUCCAUUAGCAUAUUGCAUAUGAAUCGAGUUAACUUCGCUGGAAUACUCAGCUGAAUGAGUUUGCUCCUGAGCAGAGGAAGAGACACGUUAUCAUAUGCGGAUUCUAUAUCUAGAAAAACUGCCAAAAGAGGUUCUUUUUGGAAAAGGGCUAAUCUUAUAUCAGUGGUAAGGAUACCCAAGCUAUCUAAUGAGCUCUUCCCCUUUCUGAAUCCAAACUGGGAAUCGGAAAUGAGGUUAUUGUAUUCAACAAACCACUCAAGUCGAUGUUUGAUCAUAUGUUCACAUAUUUUUGCAAGAGCAGAUGAUAGGGCAAUAGGUCUAUAACUGGUGGCUUUAGAUGGACUCUGACCUGGUUUGAGUAUAGGAAUGAUCACUUGAUUUUUCCAAGAUGGAGGAAAGAAUAGGGGAUGCCAUCGGCCCCGGGAGAAGUGUCAACUAAGCCAUCCAAUGCCAGAAGGAGUUCUGAAAAAGAGAAAGGGGAGUCUAAACUAUGAGUUGAUGAGAGAGGGAUUGGAGGUGAAGGGAGAUAGUCUUCAUUAGGAACUGAAGGGGGUGACAACCUAUCUGCAAAGGAUUCAAGCCAUACAGAUGGAUCUACACUUGAGUCAUGCUCCGAAGGAUUGUAAGAACCCCUAAAUUUUUUAACUUGUUUCCAUACAAUUGUAGAUGGAGUACAGGGAGAUAAGCUCUGGCAAAAAUUGAUCCAACCUUGUUUUUUCUUUUUGGCAAAUAAAUUAGUGGCCUUGG